CUUCAGAUUGAGAGAUGCCUGUCAGUGAAGUUUCUCUCCCUACAGCUUGAGGUUACAGAGCAUCAGCACACCAUCAACCUGGUGGAGGCUCAAGAUUCCACAUCAGGAAGGAGAAGAAAACACUAAGAAAAAAAAAAAAACAGAACAACGACGUCUUCUUCAGCCUGUAAGUGAGGAGACAGCAGGAGGGCGUGGAGCUCAGCAGAACAGAGAGAGGAGAGGGGAAUUAAAGACCAGCGCCAGCCAGGCAGGAGCUGAGAGUGAGAGAGGAUAAGAUAAGCAGGGCGGCUGAAGCAGAAGGACCGGCGAGAAGAAACGAGGGCAUCACCAGGUGCUGGG